AUUGAACGCUGGCGGCAGGCCUAACACAUGCAAGUCGAACGGUAACAGGAAGCAGCUUGCUGCUUCGCUGGCGAGUGGCGGACGGGUGAGUCGUGUCUGGGAAGCUGCCUGAUGGAGGGGGAUAACUACUGGAAACGGUAGCUAAUACCGCAUAGUUUCUCAAGACCAAAGGGGGGUAGCAUGUUGCCGCGUUCCAGCGGGUGUUCGCAGCUGGUAUGAGCUUGGUGGUGGGGUAACGGCUCACCAAGGCGAGGAUUCGUAGCGGGUCGGAGAGUAUGAUGGGCCACAUGGGAAGUGAGACAGGGUCAAUGGUACUAAGGGAGGCAGCAGUGUGGAAUAUUGCGCAAUGGGCGGAAGCAUGAUGCAACGAUGCCGAGUGUAUGACGACGGCCUUCGGGGUGUAAAGUCCGUUCAGCGGGGAGGAACGGAGUACAGCUAAUACGUUGGGUGAGUGACGUUAAUCGGAAAAGAAGCACCGGCUAACUACGUG
rnacentral:rRNA from 1 species